rnacentral:rRNA from 1 species
GACGAACGCUGGCGGCGUGCUUAACACAUGCAAGUCGAGCGGUAAGGCCCUUUCGGGGUACGACGAGCGGCGAACGGGUGAGUAACACGUGGGUGACCUGCCCUUAGCUCUGGGAUAAGCCUGGGAAACUGGGUCUAAUACCGGAUAUGACUCCAUGACGCAUGUUGUGGGGUGGAAAGCCUUGUGCGGCUGAGGAUGGGCCCGCGGCCUAUCAGCUUGUUGGUGGGGUGAUGGCCUACCAAGGCGA